rnacentral:rRNA from 2 species
GGGUUGUGAGGUUAAGUGACUAAGCGUACACGGUGGAUGCCUAGGCAGUCAGAGGCGAUGAAGGGCGUGCUAAUCUGCGAAAAGCGUCGGUAAGGUGAUAUGAACCGUUACAACCGGCGAUACCCGAAUGGGGAAACCCAGUGUGUUUCGACACACUAUCAUGUCAUGAAUACAUAGUGGCAUGAGGCGAACCGGGGGAACUGAAACAUCUAAGUACCCCGAGGAAAAGAAAUCAACCGAGAUUCCCCCAGUAGCGGCGAGCGAACGGGGAGGAGCCCAGAACCUGAAUCGGCUUGUGUGUUAGUGGAAGCGUCUGGAAAGUCGCGCAGCAAAGGGUGAUAGCCCCGUACACUAAAAUGCACAGGUCGUGAGUUCGAUGAGUAGGGCGGGACACGUGACAUCCUGUCUGAAUAUGGGGGGACCAUCCUCCAAGGCUAAAUACUCCUGACUGACCGAUAGUGAACCAGUACCGUGAGGGAAAGGCGAAAAGAACCCCGGCGAGGGGAGUGAAAUAGAACCUGAAACCGUGUACGUACAAGCAGUGGGAGCACCUUCGUGGUGUGACUGCGUACCUUUUGUAUAAUGGGUCAGCGACUUAUAUUUUGUAGCAAGGUUAACCGUAUAGGGGAGCCGUAGGGAAACCGAGUCUUAACUGGGCGAAUAGUUGCAAGGUAUAGACCCGAAACCCGGUGAUCUAGCCAUGGGCAGGUUGAAGGUUGGGUAACACUAACUGGAGGACCGAACCGACUAAUGUUGAAAAAUUAGCGGAUGACUUGUGGCUGGGGGUGAAAGGCCAAUCAAACCGGGAGAUAGCUGGUUCUCCCCGAAAGCUAUUUAGGUAGCGCCUCGUGAACUCAUCUUCGGGGGUAGAGCACUGUUUCGGCUAGGGGGCCAUCCCGGCUUACCAAACCGAUGCAAACUCCGAAUACCGAAGAAUGUUAUCACGGGAGACACACGGCGGGUGCUAACGUCCGUCGUGAAGAGGGAAACAACCCAGACCGCCAGCUAAGGUCCCAAAGUCAUGGUUAAGUGGGAAACGAUGUGGGAAGGCAUAGACAGCCAGGAUGUUGGCUUAGAAGCAGCCAUCAUUUAAAGAAAGCGUAAUAGCUCACUGGUCGAGUCGGCCUGCGCGGAAGAUGUAACGGGGCUAAACCAUGCACCGAAGCUGCGGCAGCGACGCUUAGGCGUUGUUGGGUAGGGGAGCGUUCUGUAAGCCGUUGAAGGUGGCCUGUGAGGGUUGCUGGAGGUAUCAGAAGUGCGAAUGCUGACAUAAGUAACGAUAAAGCGGGUGAAAAGCCCGCUCGCCGGAAGACCAAGGGUUCCUGUCCAACGUUAAUCGGGGCAGGGUGAGUCGACCCCUAAGGCGAGGCUGAAAAGCGUAGUCGAUGGGAAACAGGUUAAUAUUCCUGUACUUGGUGUUACUGCGAAGGGGGGACGGAGAAGGCUAGGCUAGCCGGGCGACGGUUGUCCCGGUUUAAGCGUGUAGGGGGUGUGACCUGGUAAAUCCGGUU